CUCUCUGGUGGUGUUUGGCAAUGGUAGAACUCACACUGGUGAGGUAGCUGGAUCCGGUGGUUCUAGACUUGCCAACUACUGCCCGAGAGCGUCCGGCAGC
rnacentral:pre_miRNA from 1 species